GACGAACCGUGCGAACGUUAUUCGGAAUUACUGGGCUUAAAGCGCGUGUAGGCGGAUGCCCACGUCCGGCGCUGAAAUCCCCCGGCUCAACCGGGGAACGGGCGCGGAUACGGGGCGUCUGGAGGGGGGUAGGGGGAGCCGGAACUCACGGUGGAGCGGUGAAAUGCGUUGAGAUCGUGAGGAACGCCCGUGGCGAAAGCGGGCUCCUGGACCCCGCCUGACGCUGAGACGCGAAAGCCAGGGGAGCGAACGGG
rnacentral:rRNA from 1 species